rnacentral:misc_RNA from 1 species
AUCAAGCUGAUUCUCAAAUAAACAUUCUGUGCAUAUCAGCUCCUCUACGGAAUUCAUUUCGCAAGCAACACGACCUUUGAUUUGAACUACAAGAUCAGCAUCUAUGCAGCCAAUUUCUUUUAACACAUCUAUCCGACCCUGAAAAUCUGGCAUUUGCUGAAGUGCCUCAUCUGACAUUUCAAACCUCAAAGCAUUCACUUCCGCUCGGUGCAGCUCUAAUUCUUUAGCCAAUUUCAUGUGCUCAUCCAAUUUAAUACAACCAUGACACUUAUUCUGUGCCAUUUUCUGCAAGAGAUUAUUCCAUUUGUAGUAUGCUUCCACAAGAUUCAUGUCCUUCAACUUCAGAUCUUUAACCGGAUCUAAGGCUGGAGGAUACUUAUUUCCUUCAGAUUUCAAACUGAGCAGCUGUUGUAUUGCGUUAGAGUAGGCCCCAGCACUAACAUCUUCAAGAAGCCGAACUUGGUCGAUCUUAAUCUUUUUCACACAUAUAUACAAGAAAUCCUUGUUAUCAACUCCUCGAACCUCAUAAUUCAUGCCGGCAGCAUUACCGCGGUGAGGCAAUUUGAUGUUGACAGCGCCAGAUCCCUUCCGGGAGGUGACUGACGAACAAUACUCAUCAUCAUAACCCCGUCUUGAUUUAGGCAAUAGUAUCUGCAUUUCAGAAUUUUUUUGAUCUUUCCUGUUGCUUCUAUCUGACGAAGUUUCCAGAGUUGAAGGCAAUUCUGGAGUCAGAACUAGAACUAUAUAUUGUCUGUUGUUAGAGGAAGGUGUCUUCACCACAACGCCUAGUAAGUGAUCUUGAGCUGAUUGUGAUUUUACAACCACUGCUCUCCCAAGACUAAGGUACUGCUGAGAAGCUGGCGACUGCAUUACUGCUUCUGCUAUUUGGUGGCUAUAUUUCUCUGCCUCCAAAUACAUGUCAUAGUAUUCCUCAAUUGCUG